AAAUUGAAGAGUUUGAUCAUGGCUCAGAUUGAACGCUGGCGGCAGGCCUAACACAUGCAAGUCGAACGGUAACAGGAAACAGCUUGCUGUUUCGCUGACGAGUGGCGGACGGGUGAGUAAUGUCUGGGAAACUGCCUGAUGGAGGGGGAUAACUACUGGAAACGGUAGCUAAUACCGCAUAACGUCGCAAGACCAAAGAGGGGGACCUUCGGGCCUCUUGCCAUCGGAUGUGCCCAGAUGGGAUUAGCUGGUAGGUGGGGUAACGGCUCACCUAGGCGACGAUCCCUAGCUGGUCUGAGAGGAUGACCAGCCACACUGGAACUGAGACACGGUCCAGACUCCUACGGGAGGCAGCAGUGGGGAAUAUUGCACAAUGGGCGCAAGCCUGAUGCAGCCAUGCCGCGUGUAUGAAGAAGGCCUUCGGGUUGUAAAGUACUUUCAGCGGGGAGGAAGGGAGUAAAGUUAAUACCUUU
rnacentral:rRNA from 1 species